GAACGAAAGAGUUUGAUCCUGGCUCAGAUUGAACGCUGGCGGCAUGCUUUACACAUGCAAGUCGAACGGUAACAGGGACUUCGGUCUGCUGACGAGUGGCGAACGGGUGAGUAAUGCAUCGGAACGUACCGAGUAAUGGGGGAUAACGCAUCGAAAGGUGUGCUAAUACCGCAUACGCCCUGAGGGGGAAAGCGGGGGAUCGAAAGACCUCGCGUUAUUCGAGCGGCCGAUGCCGGAUUAGCUAGUUGGUGGGGUAAAGGCUCACCAAGGCGACGAUCCGUAGCAGGUCUGAGAGGAUGAUCUGCCACACUGGGACUGAGACACGGCCCAGACUCCUACGGGAGGCAGCAGUGGGGAAUUUUGGACAAUGGGGGCAACCCUGAUCCAGCCAUGCCGCGUGUCUGAAGAAGGCCUUCGGGUUGUAAAGGACUUUUGUCAGGGAGGAAAUCC
rnacentral:rRNA from 1 species